UACGUAGGGGGCUAGCGUUGUCCGGAAUCAUUGGGCGUAAAGAGCGUGUAGGCGGUCCGGUAAGUCCGCUGUGAAAGUCGGGGGCUCAACCCUUGAAUGCCGGUGGAUACUGCAGGGCUAGAGUCCGGAAGAGGCGAGUGGAAUUCCUGGUGUAGCGGUGAAAUGCGCAGAUAUCAGGAGGAACACCGAUGGCGAAGGCAGCUCGCUGGGACGGUACUGACGCUGAGGCGCGAAAGCGUGGGGAGCAAACAGG
rnacentral:rRNA from 1 species